rnacentral:tRNA from 4 species
GGGGGAUUAGCUCAGCUGGCUAGAGCACCUGUUUUGCACGCAGGAGGUCAUCGGUUCGACUCCGAUAUUCUCCA